UACGCAAAGCAUAUGAUGAGAAAACACUGAAACUGACUCUCUGUAUGAAGUGCAUUCAGUCCAACACUGAGCUUUGUGGU